GAUGAAGAACGCAGCGAAAUGCGACAAGUAAUGUGAAUUGCAGAAUUCAGUGAAUCAUCGAAUCUUUGAACGCACAUUGCGCCCGGUAGUAUUCUGCCGGGCAUGCCUGUUCGAGCGUCAUUUCAACCAUCAAGCCCCAGCGCUUGUGUUGGGGGCCUGCGGCUGCCGCAGCCCCCUAAAAGCAGUGGCGGGCUCGCUAUCACACCGAGUGCAGUAGUUCAUCUUCUCUCCGGUCUUGUGAGGCGGGUUCCGGCCGUGAAACACCCCACUACAUUCAAGGUUGACCUCGGAUCAGGUAGGAAUACCCGCUGAACUUAAGCAUAUCAAUAAGCGGAGGA
rnacentral:misc_RNA from 1 species